UGGGGAAUAUUGGACAAUGGGGGCAACCCUGAUCCAGCCAUGCCGCGUGUGUGAAGAAGGCCUUCGGGUUGUAAAGCACUUUAAGUGGGGAGGAAGGCUCGGGGGUUAAUAACCUUCGGGAGUGACGUUACCCACAGAAUAAGCACCGGCAAACUCCGUGCCAGCAGCCGCGGUAAUACGGAGGGUGCGAGCGUUAAUCGGAAUUACUGGGCGUAAAGCGCACGUAGGUGGUUCGUUAAGUCGGAUGUGA
rnacentral:rRNA from 1 species